rnacentral:lncRNA from 1 species
CAAAACAUUACCAAAAGGGAAAUUUGAAGCUUGUUGUGAUAUCGCCUGUUUGGCGAUUUCCUCCACAUAGUUAUGAGGGGGAAAUUUGUUGGGUUCGAGCUCCCUUCAUAUGUGGAGAAAUGCCCAAAUAUGAUUAUCCCAUUUGUCUCACUUAUUUAAGUGGAGAGGAUCAAUUUAUGGUUGAGAGAGAUAGAGAGAAAAUAAAGAUUAUAGAGA